GCCCCCGUGGACCGUGGCGGUCCCGUUUGCUUCCUGUAGUGGUUACAUAAGACUAAGUUAUGAAGGAGGAGACGGGGGUUCGAUUCCUCCCGGGGGCA